rnacentral:lncRNA from 1 species
GAGCUGGUGCUCCCCACCAUCCGCAGCGCAGUGGAGAAGCAGCUGAACCUUAUUGCCCAGGGCAAAGCCAACUACCACCAGGUGCUGGGCCACACCCUGGAUAUCUUCAAGAGAAAGUUCCACUACUUUGUUGAUUCUAUUGCUGGUAAGACCUGCCUCUUCCCUGCCCCUCAUCAGCAGCUACUCCCACAGGACAGAGCUACCUGAGGCCUGCCCCAGAUCUGGGCUCUGAGCCUCUACCGGUCACAGCAGUGAUGCCUCCUCAUUUGCUGUUGCCAGGAGCAGGUUAAUUAAUAUCAGCAUCAGGAACAUACAAAGCUGGUGAGCAGGGCUUUGGCUCUGCACUCCAUCACUGACAGAAACACAGUCGCACUUGGAUCCUUGACCAUGUGU